ensembl:lncRNA
AGAAAACUGAUUAGUGAGUACAGAUUUCACUACCCUAUUCUCAUGUAGAAUAUUCAACCCCCUCUGCUUCAAUUAUGCUAAUUCUUUUAUUUUGACGACAGAGCCAGGCACCUCUGGCAUAUUUGAUCUGUUCAGAGAUGCAAUCUCUUUUUUUACCACUUUACACUUAGGUUUACCUCAGCUGAACACUUAUACUGCCAUAUCUAUAGUUUCUUACACUGCACUGCAGUUAGGGUAUUAUGAUCUGAUACCCAGUUCUUUGUAUAAUGCUACCCGCCAAUCUAAACGCCCAGUCCUUAAAGCCAUGUGCCACACUCUUAUUUUUCUUCUCCUUUGUUCAUCUGGAGACGUAGAGCUCAACCCUGGCCCGAAAACACCUAGUGCUUUCCCUGAAUCCCAGGCAAUCUCUUUCACUGACUUUUGUGAUCGUAAAAGCCUUGGGUUCAUGCAUAUCAACAUUAGAAGUCUACUCCCAAAACUAGACUUACUUACAGCUCUUGUACAUUCAGCCAACCCUGAUAUAUUAGCUGUAUCUGAAUCCUGGCUUAGGAAGUCUGUUAACAGUACUGAAAUAACAAUCCCCAAUUAUAAUAUUUUUCGGCAAGAUCGAGUUGCAAAAGGUGGUGGAGUAGCAAUCUACUGCAGAGAUAAGCUACAGAGCUCAGUUAUUUUGUCCAGAUCUGUACCCAAACAGUUUGAGCUUUUACUUUUAAAAAUCCAGCUGUCUCGAAAUAAGGCCAUUACUGUUGCUGCCUGUUACAGACCCCCUUCAGCCCCGUGUAGGGCCCUUGACUCCAUAUGUGAACUCAUUGCCCCACACCUAUCCUCUGAGUUUUUAUUGCUUGGUGACCUAAACUGGGAUAUGCUCAACCCCCCAGCUAUUUUACUUUCUAAGCUUGAUGCACUUAACCUCACACAGAUUAUAAACGAACCUACCAGGUUCAAUCUUAAAUUAGCGACGAAGGGAACGCUCAUAGACGUUGCCCUGACUAACUUGCCUUGUAAAUAUUCCUCUGCCGUUUAUAACCAGGAUCUUAGCGAUCAUUGCCUUAUUGGCUGCGUCCGUAAUGAGACCGGGGUCAAACGACCACCCCUCAUCUCCGUCAAACGCUGUCUAAAACAUUUCAGCGAACAGGCUUUUUUAAAUGACCUGAACGCUAUUUCCUGGUUAAACAUUAAUCUUAUACCGUCAGUGGAGGACGCUUGGCUGUACUUCAAAAG